GCAUGUUCACAUGAUUAAAGGUAUUCCGGUAGACGAUGGGGAUGCGUUCCAUUAGAUAGUAGGCGGGGUAACGGCCCACCUAGUCUUCGAUGGAUAGGGGUUCUGAGAGGAAGGUCCCCCACAUUGGAACUGAGACACGGUCCAAACUCCUACGGGAGGCAGCAGUGAGGAAUAUUGGUCAAUGGGCGAGAGCCUGAACCAGCCAAGUAGCGUGAAGGAUGACUGCCCUAUGGGUUGUAAACUUCUUUUAUAAAGGAAUAAAGUCGGGUAUGCAUACCCGUUUGCAUGUACUUUAUGAAUAAGGAUCGGCUAACUCCGUGCCAGCAGCCGCGGUAAUACGGAGGAUCCGAGCGUUAUCCGGAUUUAUUGGGUUUAAAGGGAGCGUAGAUGGAUGUUUAAGUCAGUUGUGAAAGUUUGCGGCUCAACCGUAAAAUUGCAGUUGAUACUGGAUAUCUUGAGUGCAGUUGAGGCAGGCGGAAUUCGUGGUGUAGCGGUGAAAUGCUUAGAUAUCACGAAGAACUCCGAUUGCGAAGGCAGCCUGCUAAGCUGCAACUGACAUUGAGGCUCGAAAGUGUGGGCAUCAAACAGGAUUAGAUACCCUGGUAGUCCACACGGUAAACGAUGAAUACUCGCUGUUUGCGAUAUACAGCAAGCGGCC
rnacentral:rRNA from 1 species